UACGAAGGGUGCAAGCGUUACUCGGAAUUACUGGGCGUAAAGCGUGCGUAGGCGGUUCACUAAGUCGGGUGUGAAACCUCCAGGCUCAACCUGGAGACGCCACCUGAUACUGGUGUGACUUGAGUACUGCAGGGGAGACUGGAAUUCCUGGUGUAGCGGUGGAAUGCGCAGAUAUCAGGAGGAACACCGGUGGCGAAGGCGGGUCUCUGGACAGUUCCUACGCUGAGGCACGAAGGUCAGGGGAGCAAACGGGG
rnacentral:rRNA from 1 species